UUUUUAACGGCCGCGGUACUCUGACCGUGCAAAGAGCAAAUCAUUUGCCUUAUAAUUGAAGGCUAGUAUGAAUGGUUUGACAAGAAUGUANCUGUCUCUUCAUAAUUUGGUAGAAUUUUAUUUUUAGGUGAAAAAGCCUUAAUGUAAUUAAUAGACAAGAAGACCCUAUCGAGCUUAAAAGAAUUUAUUGGAUAAUUUAAUAGGUAUAACUGCUGAGAUUUUUGGUUGGGGCGACUGANGAACAUUUAAAGCUUCCUUUACGUACCUGCCGAUCCAUGAUUAAAGGAAUUAUUUACCGNAUGUAUAACAGCAUUAUCUCCUUUGACAGUUCUUACCAAAAUUGGGUUUGUGACCUCNAUGUUGGANCANAAUGNCCUGAAAAUGCANAAUUCUUUANGGGUNGGUCUGUUCUACCAUUAUUCUA
rnacentral:rRNA from 1 species